UUCGGCAACUAGCUUACUGCAACUCUCACUUGGUCACCCACUGAAGCUAAUCAGGGCUGCGCCUGAUCAGUAUCUGGAUGGGAGAUCACAUGGGAAAGCAAGGUUGCUGUUGGAA
rnacentral:rRNA from 1 species